rnacentral:rRNA from 1 species
AUUGAACGCUGGCGGCAGGCCUAACACAUGCAAGUCGAGCGAGCGGCGGACGGGUGAGUAAUGUAUGGGACUCUGCCCGAUGGAGGGGGAUAACUACUGGAAACGGUGGCUAAUACCGCAUACCAUCGGAUGUACCCAUAUGGGAUUAGCUAGUAGGUGGGGUAAAGGCUCACCUAGGCGACGAUCCCUAGCUGGUCUGAGAGGAUGACCAGCCACACUGGGACUGAGACACGGCCCAGACUCCUACGGGAGGCAGCAGUGGGGAAUAUUGCACAAUGGGAGCAAGCCUGAUGCAGCCAUGCCGCGUGUGUGAAGAAGGCCUUAGGGUUGUAAAGCACUUUCAGCGGGGAGGCGUUACACGCAGAAGAAGCACCGGCUAACUCCGUGCCAGCAGCCGCGGUAAUAC